UGGGGAAUAUUGGACAAUGGGCGCAAGCCUGAUCCAGCAAUGCCGCGUGUGUGAAGAAGGCCUGCGGGUUGUAAAGCACUUUCAGUGGGGAGGAAGGCCUCGGCGUUAAUAUCGUCGAGGAUUGACGUUACCUACAGAAGAAGCACCGGCUAACUCUGUGCCAGCAGCCGCGGUAAUACAGAGGGUGCAAGCGUUAAUCGGAAUUACUGGGCGUAAAGGGCGCGUAGGUGGUUAAUUAAGUCAGAUGUGAAAUCCCCGGGCUUAACCUGGGAAUUGCAUUUGAAACUGAUUGGCUAGAGGACGGGAGAGGGAAGUGGAAUUUCCGGUGUAGCGGUGAAAUGCGUAGAUAUCGGAAGGAACACCAGUGGCGAAGGCGACUUCCUGGCCCGUUACUGACACUGAUGCGCGAAAGCGUGGGGAGCGAACA
rnacentral:rRNA from 1 species